GGAGAAAACUUCUUGGUUGUCACUCAAAUGUCAAUUUUAAGGGCACUGAUCUACUCAGCUUUAGGGCUUCCCCCCCGAGAGGCAUGCCAUUUUCUUGUCAAUGUGUUUCUAGACAUCUUGUUGAACUGGAAAAUCGCAAUCUGCAUAUCACCCGUUGUUCGUAAAUGGUUUAGGUCGAUUGAUGUGAACAAUGGUAGUUUAUCCACAUUCGUUUUCAACAAAAGAGGGGAAGCAAUGCUCCAGUCUUUGAAUAUGACUGCUCAUAUGUAUAGCGAUUACGUGUAUCUUUCUUGAAUCUGUUUGAAUCAAUAGCUGCUGAGACUGAGAAACAAGACCAUUUUGUAGUUCAUACGAACAUAUGUUAUACGUUACAUAUUCUUGACCAGUUGAACAAAGGCCCAGGGAAGCUGGUAGAUUACUUAUA